UGAGGAAUAUUGGUCAAUGGACGAGAGUCUGAACCAGCCAAGUCGCGUGAAGGAAGAAUGUCCUAUGGAUUGUAAACUUCUUUUGCAGGGGAAUAAAGAGAUCCACGAGUGGGUUAUUGCAAGUACUCUGCGAAUAAGGAUCGGCUAACUCCGUGCCAGCAGCCGCGGUAAUACGGAGGAUCCGAGCGUUAUCCGGAUUUAUUGGGUUUAAAGGGGUGCGUAGGUGGAUAGAUAAGUCAGCGGUGAAAUUUUGAGCUAACUGAAGAAUUGCCGUUGAAACUGUUUAUCUUGAGUGCAAAUGAGGUAUGCGGAAUGUGUUGUGUAGCGGUGAAAUGCAUAGAUAUAACACAGAACACCGAUUGCGAAGGCAGCGUACUGGGAUGCAACUGACACUGAGGCACGAAGGCGUGGGGAUCAAACAGGAUUAGAUACCCUGGUAGUCCACGCAGUAAACGAUGAAUACUAGCUGUUUGCGAUAUACAGUAAGCGGUACAGCGAAAGCGUUAAGUAUUCCACCUGGGGAGUACGACCGCAAGGUUGAAACUCAAAGGAAUUGACGGGGUCAUAGCUGUUUCC
rnacentral:rRNA from 1 species